UGGGGAAUAUUGGACAAUGGGGGCAACCCUGAUCCAGCCAUGCCGCGUGGGUGAAGAAGGCCUGCGGGUUGUAAAGCCCUUUCAGCGGGGAAGAACGGCUUGGGAUGAACAGUCCUGAGUCCUGACGUUACUCGCAGAAGAAGCACCGGCUAACUCCGUGCCAGCAGCCGCGGUAAUACGGAGGGUGCGAGCGCUAAUCGGAAUCACUGGGCGUAAAGCGCACGUAGGUGGCCGAAUCAGUCCGCUGUGAAAGCCCCGGGCUUAACCUGGGAAUGGCAGUGGAUACUAUUUGGCUCGAGUCUGUCAGAGGGGGGUGGAAUUCCAGGUGUAGCGGUGAAAUGCGUAGAGAUCUGGAGGAACACCAGUGGCGAAGGCGGCCCCCUGGGGCAAGACUGACGCUGAGGUGCGACAGCGUGGGGAGCAAACA
rnacentral:rRNA from 1 species